AAUGAACGUUGGCGGCAUGGAUUAGGCAUGCAAGUCGAGCGAGAAGUGUAGCAAUACACGGAAAGCGGCGGAAGGGAGAGUAAUACGUGGGAAUCUGCCCUUAGACCUGGGAUAGCAGCGGGAAACUGCUGGUAAUACCAGAUAAUGUCUAUGGACCAAAGGUGUGAUUCCGUCUAGGGAUGAGCCCACGUCCUAUUAGCUAGUUGGUAGGGUAAUGGCCUACCAAGGCGAUGAUGGGUAGCGGGUGUGAGAGCAUGACCCGCCUCACUGGGACUGAGACACUGCCCAGACACCUACGGGUGGCUGCAGUCGAGAAUCUUCGGCAAUGGGCGCAAGCCUGACCGAGCGAUGCCGCGUGCGGGAUGAAGGCCUUCGGGUUGUAAACCGCUGUCGAGGGGGAGCAACUUCCAUAGAGUUAUCUUUAUGGAUUGAGUGAUCCCUGGAGGAAGGACGGGCUAAGUUUGUGCCAGCCGCCGCUGUAAAAC
rnacentral:rRNA from 1 species